rnacentral:misc_RNA from 1 species
GAAAUGCGAUAAGUAAUGUGAAUUGCAGAAUUCAGUGAAUCAUCGAAUCUUUGAACGCACAUUGCGCCCGGCAGCAAUCUGCCGGGCAUGCCUGUCCGAGCGUCAUUUCUUCCCUCGAGCGCGGCUAGCCCUACGGGGCCUGCCGUCGCCCGGUGUUGGGGCUCUACGGGUGGGGCUCGUCCCCCCCGCAGUCCCCGAAAUGUAGUGGCGGUCCAGCCGCGGCGCCCCCUGCGUAGUAGAUCCUACAUCUCGCAUCGGGUCCCGGCGAAGGCCAGCCGUCGAACCUUUUAUUUCAUGGUUUGACCUCGGAUCAGGUAGGGUUACCCGCUGAACUUAA